rnacentral:rRNA from 1 species
GAUGAACGCUGGCGGCGUGCCUAAUACGUGCAAGUCGAGCGAACGGACGAGAAGCUUGCUUCUCUGAUGUUAGCGGCGGACGGGUGAGUAACACGUGGAUAACCUACCUAUAAGACUGGGAUAACUUCGGGAAACCGGAGCUAAUACCGGAUAAUAUUUUGAACCGCAUGGUUCAAAAGUGAAAGACGGUCUUGCUGUCACUUAUAGAUGGAUCCGCGCUGCAUUAGCUAGUUGGUAAGGUAACGGCUUACCAAGGCAACGAUGCAUAGCCGACCUGAGAGGGUGAUCGGCCACACUGGAACUGAGACACGGUCCAGACUCCUACGGGAGGCAGCAGUAGGGAAUCUUCCGCAAUGGGCGAAAGCCUGACGGAGCAACGCCGCGUGAAUGAUGAAGGUCUUCGGAUCGUAAAACUCUGUUAUUAGGGAAGAACAUAUGUGUAAGUAACUGUGCACAUCUUGACGGUACCUAAUCAGAAAGCCACGGCUAACUACGUG